UUCUUUUUUAUUAAGAUUUCACUUUUACUUAUUUUGUGUUUGUAGAAGUGAAACCAGCACCUGUGCAUGCUGAACAAGUGCUCUACUAUGAAGCCAUUUCUCCAAGGAAAGAACAAAUAAUGGGCUCAGGACAUGAUACACUGCAUCCUGCAGGCUCCAGACCUCAUGACUCUGACUGCUGACUCCUGAGCCUUCCCAACUCACAUGACCACGACUGUGAGGCAGAGGGAAAGUAGAGCCUUGGCUCUGAUGCUCAGGUCUACUGCCAUGAAAAAGGCUGUGGAGAAGCAGCCCUGGCCUGUGUGGGAGAAACAGCCAGCCACAGACCAAGGACUCCUGUGAUCGGGGAUUCUGGCUGCCUGUUGGGCCUGCAGGAAACCAGCCUGUCACUAUGGUCCUGAGCCUUCCUCCUGAGGCCUGCCAUACCUCUGCUGUCUGCUGAGUGGAGAUGGUCACACUCACACACUCAUACACU